rnacentral:rRNA from 1 species
CCUACGGGUGGCUGCAGUGAGGAAUAUUGGUCAAUGGGCGAGAGCCUGAACCAGCCAAGUCGCGUGAAGGAUGAAGGAUCUAUGGUUUGUAAACUUCUUUUAUAUGGGAAUAAAGUGAGGAACGUGUUCCUUUUUGUAUGUACCAUAUGAAUAAGCAUCGGCUAACUCCGUGCCAGCAGCCGCGGUAAUACGGAGGAUGCGAGCGUUAUCCGGAUUUAUUGGGUUUAAAGGGUGCGUAGGUGGUUAAUUAAGUCAGCGGUGAAAGUUUGUGGCUCAACCAUAAAAUUGCCGUUGAAACUGGUUGACUUGAGUGAGUGAGAAGUAUGCGGAAUGCGUGGUGUAGCGGUGAAAUGCAUAGAUAUCACGCAGAACUCCGAUUGCGAAGGCAGCAUACCGGCGCUCAACUGACGCUCAUGCACGAAAGUGUGGGUAUCGAACAGGAUUAGAUACCCCUGUAGUC